rnacentral:rRNA from 1 species
AUUGAACGCUGGCGGAAUGCUUUACACAUGCAAGUCGAACGGUAGAGGGGGCAACCCCUCGAGAGUGGCGAACGGGUGAGUAGUAUAUCGGAAUGUGCCCAGUCGUGGGGGAUAACGUAGCGAAAGUUACGCUAAUACCGCAUACGAUCUAAGGAUGAAAGCGGGGGAUCGCAAGACCUCGCGCGAUUGGAGCGGCCGAUAUCAGAUUAGGUAGUUGGUGGGGUAAAGGCUCACCAAGCCAACGAUCUGUAGCUGGUCUGAGAGGACGACCAGCCACACUGGAACUGAGACACGGUCCAGACUCCUACGGGAGGCAGCAGUGGGGAAUUUUGGACAAUGGACGCAAGUCUGAUCCAGCCAUUCCGCGUGCAGGAUGAAGGCCCUCGGGUUGUAAACUGCUUUUGUACGGAACGAAAAGGUCUCUCUUAAUACGGGGGACUCAUGACGGUACCGUAAGAAUAAGCACCGGCUAACUACGUGCCAGCCGCCGCCGUAA